CCUCAAGACUUGGCUCUACAUUCACAGGCUGUCUACUGGGAACACUUUGAUUCUCUGCCUGGGGACCUUUUAUUACCAAGGAAGCCCUGCACUCUUGCAAAGAAGCUGAAAGGGCUAGAGAGUUAAUGCCUUCAGAGAAACCUUCAGCCAAAGAUGAAUGCAGUCUGGUAGGUAAUUAUCCUGGCAUUCUGGUCCCUCAGGAUAACUUUGAGGCCUGUUCUAUAUUCUCUCUUAGAAUCCCACAAUUGCGGGGAAAAAAGAAGAGGAAGAAGAAGACGAAUCCCACAAUGAAGCUGUUGUGGGAUUACAGCCACUGUAAGCUCAUCCUGCCGAGGACAUCUGCAGUCAUUCCUGGUGCACUUCUGGAGUAUCUCCUUGGAAGUUUGGAAGAAGUUAGGCCUACAGACGCUGAGAAGCCCUCUGCUGGCCUGUCAGAUCUGAUGAGUCAACUCCUCUGGGGACAAGGUCACAUUGGACGCAGUUGUGUACACCGAUACAGGACACGAAAUUGUCUCCCUGGAGGCCUCCCUGUUGGGCCUCAUCUAUGGUCUCUGCCCCACUAGAGGUUUCCCUGUGUGACCUCACUGAUUGUUUGUCCUGUCUGACUUGUUGUUUGCUGUUUGUCAUUUCUCCAGUGUCUGUCUAUCUUGCCAGCUGUGUCCUGUGUCUAUCUUGUUUGUCUAGCAGUGUGUUGUGCCGGGCCUUUCUUGUUUUCAUAACCACUCUUCUUUCAUCAGGACUCCUUCGCUCCACCGACAUUGUGGGACAAGGAAGUUCUACAGAGAACUGGCCUCCCUAGGUCACAUCUGACUCUGGUUUCUGUCUUUGUCAGUGUCUUUGUCUGUUGGUUUGUUUUUGUUUGUCCCCUUUGUGUUCUGUGUUAAUUUCUACCUCAGUUUGUUUCUAAUGUUAAUGGUUACAAAGCUUUUAACUGUGCUCACUAAAGCUUGCAUUAAAAUGUAAAGUGCUGUCAACAGACUAAAAGAAUUGUCAAAAGUAAAAGCUAAAGGUAAAAAAGGCAUUCCAGAGAUUUUCUUCAUUUAGGAACUGGGCCAGAUGGUCAACAGGGUACAUCAUGUCAGUUCCUAUAGAGGACAGAUUAAAACUGAAGUGUUUUAUAAAAUUAUUAUUCCUGAAUUGUAAAACAAAGCAUAAUUUUGUCUAGGAAAUUUGGCUUUUGUUUCUCAGUAUUUGCAAGCAUGUAUUAACUCCCAACUAUUAAAAAUGGUCUAUUUUUCAAUGUCAGGCUAAAAUUUGGUGGCCACUAUCCAAGAAACCAGAAAAACCAGUUUGAAAUGGGACCCCAACCUGGGGGACUCUCCCAAGGAGACCAAUGGAGCUGUGUCUUUGGGAAGUUCUUUCAGGGAAAAAUAAGGCCCCUUCAUUUGUCUAUGUUCCCUUAACACUUUCCAGCUUUGAUGAACAGGACGACCUCAGGAAAAAGGUCAGAAAGG
rnacentral:lncRNA from 1 species